GGGAUAAUGAGUCAAGCCAGAAAAGCAAGAAAUAGAUCCAGUAAAUCAAUAAACAGGUUUAGUUAUUGCUAUCAAUCUAUGAGCACAUGGACAUAUAUAUAAGAAAAAGUAAAUCAAUAAACAGGUUUAGUUAUUGCUAUCAAUCUAUGAGCACAUGGACAUAUAUAUAAGAAAAAGUAAAUCAAUAAACAGGUUUAGUUAUUGCUAUCAAUCUAUGAGCACAUGGACAUAUAUAUAAGAAAAAGUAAAUCAAUAAACAGGUUUAGUUAUUGCUAUCAAUCUAUGAGCACAUGGGCAUAUAUAUAAGAAAAAGUAGCUCCCCAAUUAUUUCUUUUAGUACCAGGCACCCCAUGUAUUAUUGCAUUAGCUUCUACUAGAGGCGGAUCUAGAAUUUGAAGGUUGCGGGUGCCACUGCAUUUAAUAUAAACUUGGUGAUGGAUAUUGAAUUUGGGCGUAUAUUCAUCCAAUUCAAUCCAUUUUGAGCUAAUAUGGGUUGAUUUACGAAUUUUUUGGUACAUAAAUAAAUAUACGAUUAUCUAAUCAACAUGAAUUUUAUCUGAUUCAAUCAAAUUCUGCUGCAAAAUGAGAAAAAUAUGAACAAGAAAACAAAAUUUUUUGAAUAGGCAAUUGCACCCCUUCUUAAUCAUAAGAUACUUAAAUCAUAAAUCAUGAUAACUAACAAAUUGUAACUUAUAACGAAUUCUAUAAAAUAAUUCUAUAAAAAAGAGCCAAAGCAUUUUGUAUAAGGGAUCUCUCAUCAACUUAAAGUAAAGACAAUGUUUUCAUUACAAAAAAUCACAAAUUAUCCAUAUUAAAAAAGAAAUUAAUUUGCGAACAAAAACAGAAACUCGUAUUUUUUUUAAAAUUUUUUGGUAACAUUAAAACAAAAACUCUUAAUAAUAAAGUACAAAAAGAAGCCAAUAAACUAGCAUAAAACGACCCUUGGCUCUAUUGCUUUCGUUUAAAGGAUUAAGAAACGAAGUAUAAAAUUCAAUAGAUAAAAUGUACUUUGAAGGGAUAAAAGAGGAAAAAGAAUAAAAUCACAUCCAAGUAAAUAUUUGGACAUUUUGAAGAAAAAAGAAGAAGAAAUAAUUUAGAUAAAUAAACUAAUUGAUGGGUUGCAAAGGAGGAAGAGUGUAAAUACAAUUACUAAGCUGCUCGGACUCGAGUGCGGGUGUCCAUACGGGUGCGGAUCUAGAGGUCGGAUCCUUCAUGAUCUAAUUUUUAAGCUUCGGGGAUAUGGAUCCAUGUACGGAUAUGGGUGCGGGGAUUCGCCUAUAAAUAAUUAAAAUAUCUAAAAAUAGAGUUAUAAAACCUAAAUUAUGACAUAUUAUGUGGAGAACUUGAGAAGAAUCACGAAAGGAAAUUAAGGAAAAUGAGUGACAUAAAAAUUUCUAUAUAAAAGGUAUUCUAUUUUCUUCAAUUUCACCUUUAGCUUUUGUAUUGAGCAUAGCAAUCAUUAAAAUUGUCCAGACUUUCUCCAUCGAUUUUGGUCAAAGUACCCAAAAUCCGUUGACCAAAUCAGACACAGAUCCCACACCCACACCCAUGUCGUGUCGACACAGGCGGCACCAAAAGUGAAGAGUCCGAGCAACUUAGAAUACAAAAAAAACACUAUAAAGGAAACAAAUAAAGAAAGAAAGGAUAUCCCUAGUAUGUUAGAGUCCUUAAGGAGUUCAUAGGAAAACAACAUCACUUUUGUAUUUCUGAUUGUAAGUAUUACUGGAAUACGUCCUGAGUAUUCCUGUGUUUAUAAUACAAGUUACCUUUUCAAAAAAAAA